UGCAGUUGUUGCCUCAAGCUU
rnacentral:miRNA from 3 species